CCAGCCUGGAAGCCUACGCCGUGAGGUGUGCAGCAGCUGGAGUCUGUAUCGACUGGAGGAUCAACUAAAGGAAAAUGUGAACUGACAUGCCCUAAGACCAAAGUGUAUAAGGCAUGUGGCUCUACUAUCCAGCCAACUUGCAAUUCAAGAUACAAUGAAAAAUAUGUGCAUUCAUGUCAGGGAGCACAAAGGAGCCUCGGA